UACGUAGGGUGCGAGCGUUGUCCGGAAUUAUUGGGCGUAAAGAGCUCGUAGGCGGUGUGUCGCGUCGGCCGUGAAAACCUGGGGCUUAACUCUGGGCGUGCGGUCGAUACGGGCAUCACUGGAGUUCGGCAGGGGAGACUGGAAUUCCUGGUGUAGCGGUGAAAUGCGCAGAUAUCAGGAGGAACACCGGUGGCGAAGGCGAGUCCCUGGAAAAUACCUGACACUGAGGCACGAAAGCUAGGGGAGCAAACAGG
rnacentral:rRNA from 1 species